AUUCAGAUUUGGCGCGAGCGCGGCUGGGUUUUGCUGCUGCUGGUGUGCAGUUUGUUCGGGGCUUGUGGUGGUGAGUCCCCGAGGCUGCGUGUGAGAGACCUGAGAAGGAGCCUGCACUGAGGAGGUGGAAAGGAGGGGAUUGCUGGAGGAGGCCUGCGAUCUGUGAGGCAGCGGAGUUGGGGGAAGGCUGCGGGUUCCGGCGAGGCGCGAGUUGUGCUGCCAUCAUGCCUCAAACCCGAUCCCAGGCACAGGCUACAAUCAGUUUUCCAAAAAAGAAGCUGUCUCGGGCAUUGAACAAAACCAAAAACUCUAGUGACACCAAACUAGAACUGACAAAUGUCCAAACUGUACCCUGUUCUCAUGUAAAAGUCCUGCCUCUCAGCCCCAGGAAACGUCUGGGUGAUGACAACCUAUGCAACACUCCCCAUUUACCUCCUUGUUCGCCACCAAAGCAAGGCAAGAAAGAGAAUGGUCCCCCUUGCUUACAUACACUUAAGGGACGAAGAUUGGUAUUUGACAAUCAGCUGACAACUAAGUCUCCUAGCAAAAGAGAACAAGCCAAAGUUCACCAAAAGAAAAUACUUUCUUCAGUUAGAAAAAGUCAAGAGAUCACAACAAGUCCUGAGCAGAGAUGUCCACUGGAGAAAGAAUCUGCAUGUGUGAGACUAUUCAAGCAAGAAGGCACUUGCUACCAGCAAGCAAAGCUGGUCCUGAACACAGCUGUCCCGGAUCGGCUGCCUGCCAGGGAAAGGGAGAUGGAUGUCAUCAAGAAUUUCCUGAGGGAGCACAUCUGUGAAAAAAAAGCUGGAAGCCUUUACCUUUCCGGUGCUCCUGGAACUGGAAAAACUGCCUGCUUAAGCCGAAUUUUGCAAGACCUCAAGAAGGAACUGAAAGGCUUUAAAACUAUCAUGCUGAAUUGCAUGUCCUUGAGGAGUGCCCAGGCUGUAUUCCCAGCUAUUGCUCAGGAGAUUUGUCAGGAAGAGGUAUCCAGGCCAGCUGGGAAGGACAUGAUGAGGAAAUUAGAAAAACAUAUGACUGCAGAGAAAGGCCCCAUGAUUGUGUUGGUAUUGGACGAGAUGGAUCAACUGGACAGCAAAGGCCAGGAUGUAUUGUACACACUGUUUGAAUGGCCAUGGCUAAGCAAUUCUCACUUGGUGCUGAUUGGCAUUGCUAAUACCCUGGAUCUCACAGAUAGAAUUCUGCCUAGGCUUCAAGCUAGAGAAAAAUGUAAGCCACAGCUGUUGAACUUCCCACCUUAUACCAAAAAUCAAAUAGUCACUAUUUUGCAAGAUCGACUUAAUCAGGUAUCUAGAGAUCAGGUUCUGGACAAUGCUGCAAUUCAAUUCUGUGCCCGCAAAGUCUCUGCUGUUUCAGGAGAUGUUCGAAAAGCGCUAGAUGUUUGCAGGAGAGCUGUUGAAAUUGUAGAGUCAGAUGUCAAAAGCCAGACUAUUCUCAAACCACUGUCUGAAUGUAAAUCACCUUCUGAGCCUUUGAUUCCCAAGAGGGUUGGUCUUAUUCAUAUAUCCCAAGUCAUUUCAGAAGUUGAUGGUAACAGGAUGACCUUGAGCCAAGAAGCAGCACAGGAUUCCUUCCCUCUUCAGCAGAAGAUCUUGGUCUGCUCUUUGAUGCUGUUGAUCAGACAGUUGAAAAUCAAAGAGGUCACUCUGGGGAAGUUAUAUGAAGCCUAUAGCAAAGUAUGUCGCAAACAGCAGGUGGCGGCUGUGGACCAGUCAGAGUGUUUGUCACUUUCAGGGCUCUUGGAGGCCAGGGGCAUUUUAGGAUUAAAGAAAAACAAGGAAACCCGCUUGACAAAGGUGUCUUUCAAGAUUGAAGAGAAGGAAAUAGAGCAUGCUCUGAAAGAUAAAGCUUUAAUUGGAAAUAUCUUAGCUACUGGAUUGCCUUAAAUUCUUAUCUUACACCCCACCCAAAAGUAUUUAUCUGGCAUUUAGAGAGCUACAGUCUUCAUUUUAGUGCUUUACACAUUCAGGUCUGAAAACAAAUAUGACCUUUUUUACUUGAAACCAAUGGAUUUUAAUCUAUAGAUUCUUUAAUAUCAGCACAGAAUAAUAUCUUUAGAUCUUAUUAUUUUUACCUUUAAAAGUGAUCAGGUAGAUCCUUUUUAAUUACAUUCACUGCUUCUACCACUGUGUAUCUCUAGCCAGUGUGCUUACAAGUGUACAGAUCUGAAAUGUGUUUAUAUUUACCUCUUUGUUUGUUCAAAUAUGAGUGUGUUUUUGUUUUUGUUUUUUUGAGACUGAGUCUCGCCCUGUUGCCCAGGCUGGAGUGCAGUGGCACAAUCUUGGCUCACUUCAGCAUUCACUUCCUGGGAUCAAGUGAUUCUCUUGCCUCAGCCUCCCGAGUAGCUGGGAUUACAGGUGGGCACCACCACACCCGACUUAUUUUUGUAUUUUUAGUAGAGAUGGGGUUUUACCAUGUUGGCCAGGCUGGUCUUACACUCCUGACCCUCAAGUUAUCUGUCCACCUCGGCCUCCCAGAAUGCUAGGAUUACAGGUGUGAAACACCGCCCCUAGCCAUGAGUGUAUUUUGUUCAGAACUUUGAGGUUAGGGUAAGAAGAAUGUAAAAGAAUGAUCCAGGAAAAUUAAGCAAGUCCACGUGGAGAUUUGGAGGACACUGGUUAAAGAAUUUAUUUAUUUUCAGAGUAUACUAUGUUCACAGCGCAGAUACUACGACAUUGUGACAUUUUAAAGGCUCUUUGAGUUUCUUGGGCACCUCCAAGGGCACUGGGGUUGUAAGGAGACUGUAACUACAGAUUGUGAAUAUAUUUAUUUUCAAGUUGUAUUCUUUGUCUUUUUAAGCAAUUAGAUUUCAAGAGCGCUCAUGCUUUCA